GACCGUGUAGCUCAGAUGGCAGAGCAUUGGGCUAGUAUUCCAAAGGUCGUAGGUUCGAUUCCCACCGUGGCCA
rnacentral:tRNA from 1 species